rnacentral:rRNA from 1 species
CUACGGGGCGCUGCAGUGGGGAAUCUUAGACAAUGGGCGCAAGCCUGAUCUAGCCAUGCCGCGUGAGUGACGAAGGCCUUAGGGUCGUAAAGCUCUUUCGCUAGGGAAGAUAAUGACUGUACCUAGUAAAGAAACCCCGGCUAACUCCGUGCCAGCAGCCGCGGUAAUACGGAGGGGGUUAGCGUUGUUCGGGAUUACUGGGCGUAAAGCGCGCGUAGGCGGAUCAGAAAGUUGGGGGUGAAAUCCCAGGGCUCAACCCUGGAACUGCCUCCAAAACUCCUGGUCUUGAGUUCGAGAGAGGUGAGUGGAAUUCCGAGUGUAGAGGUGAAAUUCGUAGAUAUUCGGAGGAACACCAGUGGCGAAGGCGGCUCACUGGCUCGAUACUGACGCUGAGGUGCGAAAGCGUGGGGAGCAAACAGGAUUAGAUACCCUCGUAGUC